rnacentral:rRNA from 1 species
AACGAACGCUGGCGGCAGGCCUAACACAUGCAAGUCGAGCGCCCUUUCGGGGGAGCGGCGGACGGGUGAGUAACGCGUGGGAAUAUGCCCUUCUCUACGGAAUAGCCUCGGGAAACUGAGAGUAAUACCGUAUACGCCCUUAGGGGGAAAGAUUUAUCGGGGAAGGAUUAGCCCGCGUUGGAUUAGGUAGUUGGUGGGGUAAUGGCCUACCAAGCCGACGAUCCAUAGCUGGUUUGAGAGGAUGAUCAGCCACACUGGGACUGAGACACGGCCCAGACUCCUACGGGGGGCGGCAGUGGGGAAUUUUAGACAAUGGGGGCAACCCUGAUCUAGCCAUGCCGCGUGAGCGAUGAAGGCCUUAGGGUUGUAAAGCUCUUUCAGCUGGGAAGAUAAUGACGGUACCAGCAGAAGAAGCCCCGGCUAACUCCGUGCCAGCAGCCGCCGCCG